rnacentral:rRNA from 1 species
GGGUUGUGAGGUUAAGCGACUAAGCGUACACGGUGGAUGCCUAGGCAGUCAGAGGCGAUGAAGGGCGUGCUAAUCUGCGAAAAGCGUCGGUAAGCUGAUAUGAAGCGUUACAACCGACGAUACCCGAAUGGGGAAACCCAGUGCAAUUCGUUGCACUAUUGCAUGGUGAAUACAUAGCCAUGCAAGGCGAACCGGGGGAACUGAAACAUCUAAGUACCCCGAGGAAAAGAAAUCAACCGAGAUUCCCCCAGUAGCGGCGAGCGAACGGGGAGGAGCCCAGAGUCUGAAUCAGUUUGUGUGUUAGUGGAAGCGUCUGGAAAGUCGCACGGUACAGGGUGAUAGUCCCGUACACAAAAACACACUUGCUGUGAACUCGAUGAGUAGGGCGGGACACGUGACAUCCUGUCUGAAUAUGGGGGGACCAUCCUCCAAGGCUAAAUACUCCUGACUGACCGAUAGUGAACCAGUACCGUGAGGGAAAGGCGAAAAGAACCCCGGCGAGGGGAGUGAAAUAGAACCUGAAACCGUGUACGUACAAGCAGUGGGAGCACCUUCGUGGUGUGACUGCGUACCUUUUGUAUAAUGGGUCAGCGACUUAUAUUUUGUAGCAAGGUUAACCGAAUAGGGGAGCCGUAGGGAAACCGAGUCUUAACUGGGCGUCUAGUUGCAAGGUAUAGACCCGAAACCCGGUGAUCUAGCCAUGGGCAGGUUGAAGGUUGGGUAACACUAACUGGAGGACCGAACCGACUAAUGUUGAAAAAUUAGCGGAUGACUUGUGGCUGGGGGUGAAAGGCCAAUCAAACCGGGAGAUAGCUGGUUCUCCCCGAAAGCUAUUUAGGUAGCGCCUCGUGAACUCAUCUUCGGGGGUAGAGCACUGUUUCGGCUAGGGGGUCAUCCCGACUUACCAAACCGAUGCAAACUCCGAAUACCGAAGAAUGUUAUCACGGGAGACACACGGCGGGUGCUAACGUCCGUCGUGAAGAGGGAAACAACCCAGACCGCCAGCUAAGGUCCCAAAGUCAUGGUUAAGUGGGAAACGAUGUGGGAAGGCAUAGACAGCCAGGAUGUUGGCUUAGAAGCAGCCAUCAUUUAAAGAAAGCGUAAUAGCUCACUGGUCGAGUCGGCCUGCGCGGAAGAUGUAACGGGGCUAAACCAUGCACCGAAGCUGCGGCAGCGACACUUAGGUGUUGUUGGGUAGGGGAGCGUUCUGUAAGCCGUUGAAGGUGGACUGUGAGGUCUGCUGGAGGUAUCAGAAGUGCGAAUGCUGACAUAAGUAACGAUAAUGCGGGUGAAAAGCCCGCACGCCGGAAGACCAAGGGUUCCUGUCCAACGUUAAUCGGGGCAGGGUGAGUCGACCCCUAAGGCGAGGCUGAAAAGCGUAGUCGAUGGGAAACAGGUUAAUAUUCCUGUACUCGGUGUUACUGCGAAGGGGGGACGGAGAAGGCUAGGCUAGCCGGGCGACGGUUGUCCCGGUUUAAGCAUGUAGGCGGAGCGACCUGGUAAAUCCGGUUGCUUAUCAACGCUGAGGUGUGAUGACGAUGCACUACGGUGCAGAAGUAGUUGAUGCCAAGCUUCCAGGAAAAGCCUCUAAGCAUCAGGUAACANNAGCCGAAGCCAGUCGCAGAUACCAGCUGGCUGCAACUGUUUAAUAAAAACACAGCACUGUGCAAACACGAAAGUGGACGUAUACGGUGUGACGCCUGCCCGGUGCUGGAAGGUUAAUUGAUGGGGUCAGCCGCAAGGCGAAGCUCUUGAUCGAAGCCCCAGUAAACGGCGGCCGUAACUAUAACGGUCCUAAGGUAGCGAAAUUCCUUGUCGGGUAAGUUCCGACCUGCACGAAUGGCGUAAUGAUGGCCAGGCUGUCUCCACCCGAGACUCAGUGAAAUUGAACUCGCUGUGAAGAUGCAGUGUACCCGCGGCAAGACGGAAAGACCCCGUGAACCUUUACUAUAGCUUGACACUGAACAUUGAGCCUUGAUGUGUAGGAUAGGUGGGAGGCAUCGAAGCGUGGACGCCAGUCUGCGUGGAGCCAACCUUGAAAUACCACCCUUUAAUGUUUGAUGUUCUAACUCGGCCCCGUAAUCCGGGGUGAGGACAGUGUCUGGUGGGUAGUUUGACUGGGGCGGUCUCCUCCCAAAGAGUAACGGAGGAGCACGAAGGUUAGCUAAUCACGGUCGGACAUCGUGAGGUUAGUGCAAAGGCAUAAGCUAGCUUGACUGCGAGAGUGACGGCUCGAGCAGGUACGAAAGUAGGUCUUAGUGAUCCGGUGGUUCUGAAUGGAAGGGCCAUCGCUCAACGGAUAAAAGGUACUCCGGGGAUAACAGGCUGAUACCGCCCAAGAGUUCAUAUCGACGGCGGUGUUUGGCACCUCGAUGUCGGCUCAUCACAUCCUGGGGCUGAAGUAGGUCCCAAGGGUAUGGCUGUUCGCCAUUUAAAGUGGUACGCGAGCUGGGUUUAGAACGUCGUGAGACAGUUCGGUCCCUAUCUGCCGUGGGCGUUGGAAGAUUGAGAGGGGCUGCUCCUAGUACGAGAGGACCGGAGUGGACGAAUCACUGGUGUUCGGGUUGUCAUGCCAAUGGCAUUGCCCGGUAGCUAAAUUCGGAAGAGAUAACCGCUGAAAGCAUCUAAGCGGGAAACUUGCCUCGAGAUGAGUCUUCCCUGGGGCUUUAAGCCCCCUGAAGGAACGUUAAAGACUAUGACGUUGAUAGGCUGGGUGUGUAAGUGCAGCGAUGCAUUGAGCUAACCAGUACUAAUGAUCCGUGAGGCUUAACCUUACAACACCGAAGGUGUUU